UACGUAGGCAGCGAGCGUUGUUCGGAGCUACUGGGCGUAAAGCGUGCGUAGGCGGUUUUGUAAGUUUGGUGUGAAAUCUCCCGGCUCAACUGGGAGGGUGCGCCGAAAACUGCAAGGCUGGAGUAUGGGAGAGGUAGGCGGAAUUCCUGGUGUAGCGGUGAAAUGCGUAGAUAUCUGGAGGAACACCGGUGGCGAAGGCGGCAUCCUGGACCAAUACUGACGCUGAGGAGCGAAAGCCAGGGGAGCAAACGGG
rnacentral:rRNA from 1 species